rnacentral:rRNA from 1 species
UACAGAGGUCCCGAGCGUUGUUCGGAUUCACUGGGCGUAAAGGGUGCGUAGGUGGUGAGGUAAGUCGGAUGUGAAAUCUCCGGGCUCAACCCGGAAAUGGCAUUGGAAACUACCUUGCUAGAGGAUUUGAGGGGGGAUUGGAAUACUUGGUGUAGCAGUGAAAUGCGUAGAUAUGAAGUGGAACACCAGUGGCGAAGGCGAAUCCCUGGAAAAUACCUGACACUGAGGCACGAAAGCUAGGGGAGCAAACAGG